rnacentral:misc_RNA from 1 species
CUCGUCUAAAGGAAUCUGGGAAUCCAGAGUUCAAGUUUUUGUUUGGUGGUGAGCCAGGAAGUGAAGCUGCAAUUGCACAUGAGUAUUUUUUGUGGAUGAAGAAGCAGUGUCUUUUGGCAUGUAAAUCAGACAAAAUCCAGCCUGCAAUGUCAACCAAUCAUUUGAUGGUCACAACUGAACCCCAUUCACCCGCUGAUUCUGAUAUGGAGAUGGAAGAUGAUAUCACCAGGUCUGAUGUUGACCAGGCAGUGAAUCAGCCUAUUGAAAAUCCAACUCAAGCUAUUGGUCCGAUAAGCAGCGAGUUUGAUGCAAAAAAGCAGCUGCACAAACUAUUGAGUUCAGCCGGAUCUGGUGCUGGCACGAUGGUUUUAUCUGAAAGACAGG